GGGGCAUAGAGCCGGGCCCUGGCGCUAUUUACCCCUCUCGGCUCCAAUUCCCCUCUCCUGUUCCUGUCUUUUGCACUGGCUGGCAGAGCAAGAGGACGACGGCCGGGGAGCGCGCGCGAGGGACCCGGAAUGGGUCCUCGGUAGUCUUAGUUCCGCUCAAUGCUCAGGCCCUCGCCCCGACAAUGACAGCGCCCGGGCUCAAGUGCGGCGCGCCCGGAGGUCAUAGUGAAGCCGCGCCUGGCUCCAGGAUCGAAGGGAGCGCGAGACAUCAAUGGACAUCACUCCAGAUCCUUCUUCAUCUGGCUGCAGCUGGAGCUCUGCACCAAGGCUGUGCUGCUCACCACAGGAGAGAUCAGAUGCUACUAUGAUGAUGCUCGCUGUGUGGCAACAGGUUAUAUGUGUAAGUCUGAGCUUAGUGCUUGCUUCUCCAGACAUCUCGAUCCUCAGGACACCAAUUCCCCACUCAUCCACAGCUGUCUGGACUUACAUGCAAGCACAGCACAGACAUCUGCGAAGACAAGCAGGCCCUAAACCACUCUGGCCCUGCCAUGCCCACUUUGGAAUGCUGUCACGAAAACAUGUGCAAUUCCCGAGGACUGCAUGAAGUCCUCUCUCCUCCCAAGAGCGAAGCCUCAGGACAAGGAAACCAGUAUCAGCAUGACAGCAGCAGAAAACUCAUCACUAGGAUGCAGGAGCUGACUUCCUUCAAAGAACUGUGGUUUGGCGCAGCUGUGAUCGCUGGCGGACUGAUCUUGUGCUGCUGCCUUACUGUUUUGUUGGCCUUGCGAGUGCUUCAAAGUAAGAACAAGAGACUGCAGGAUCGGUGGCAGCAGAUGCUGUCCUGUUUGCACUACAGCUUUCACCGCGGUGGCUUUCCUAGAUCUGAGAUACAAAGCUUAAAUUUGAAGAGAUCACCAGUGUAAUCAACUAGAGAAAGUACCCAAGGAGGAACAACAAUAUGAAAUAACCAGUACCCCCCAGAACUGUGUCUCUAGUUGCAUAUGUAGCAGAGGAUGGCCUAGUUGGCUAUCAAUGAGAGGAGAGGCCCUUGGUCCUGCGAAGAUCAUAUGCCCCAGUACAGGGGAAUGCCAGGGCCAAGAAGCAUUAGUGGAUGGGUUGGGGAGCAGGAGGGGGGGAUGGUAGAGGGGACUUUCGGGAUAGCAUUUGAAAUGUAAAUGAAGAAAAUAUCUAAUAAAAAAAGAAAUGAAAAUUGGC